UACGUAGGGGGCAAGCGUUGUCCGGAAUCAUUGGGCGUAAAGAGCGCGUAGGCGGUCCGGUAAGUCCGCUCUGAAAGUCCGGGGCUCAACCCCGGGAGGCGGGCGGAUACUGUCGGGCUAGAGUCCGGAAGAGGCGAGUGGAAUUCCUGGUGUAGCGGUGAAAUGCGUAGAUAUUGGGAGGAACACCAGUGGCGAAGGCGGCUUACUGGACCGGAACUGACGCUGAGGCGCGAAAGCGUGGGGAGCAAACGGG
rnacentral:rRNA from 1 species